GUUUGAUCAUGGCUCAGAUUGAACGCUGGCGGCAGGCCUAACACAUGCAAGUCGAGCGGUAGAGAGAAGCUUGCUUCUCUUGAGAGCGGCGGACGGGUGAGUAAUGCCUAGGAAUCUGCCUGGUAGUGGGGGAUAACGUUCGGAAACGGACGCUAAUACCGCAUACGUCCUACGGGAGAAAGCAGGGGACCUUCGGGCCUUGCGCUAUCAGAUGAGCCUAGGUCGGAUUAGCUAGUUGGUGAGGUAAUGGCUCACCAAGGCGACGAUCCGUAACUGGUCUGAGAGGAUGACCAGCCACACUGGAACUGAGACACGGUCCAGACUCCUACGGGAGGCAGCAGUGGGGAAUAUUGGACAAUGGGCGAAAGCCUGAUCCAGCCAUGCCGCGUGUGUGAAGAAGGUCUUCGGAUUGUAAAGCACUUUAAGUUGGGAGGAAGGGCAUUAACCUAAUACGUUAGUGUUUUGACGUUACCGACAGAAUAAGCACCGGCUAACUCUGUGCCAGCAGCCGCGGUAAUACAGAGGGUGCAAGCGUUAAUCGGAAUUACUGGGCGUAAAGCGCGCGUAGGUGGUUUGUUAAGUUGGAUGUGAAAUCCCCGGGCUCAACCUGGGAACUGCAUCCAAAACUGGCAAGCUAGAGUAUGGUAGAGGGUGGUGGAAUUUCCUGUGUAGCGGUGAAAUGCGUAGAUAUAGGAAGGAACACCAGUGGCGAAGGCGACCACCUGGACUGAUACUGACACUGAGGUGCGAAAGCGUGGGGAGCAAACAGGAUUAGAUACCCUGGUAGUCCACGCUGUAAACGGUGGGUACUAGGUGUGGGGUCCAUUCCACGGGUUCCGUGCCGUAGCUAACGCUUUAAGUACCCCGCCUGGGGAGUACGGCCGCA
rnacentral:rRNA from 1 species